CGUCCGUGGCAGAAUCCAUCGCGAAGGAGAAAUAUUUGGAUCGCCAGGGCCGGGAUUUUCUUGGAUCGGCUGCUGGAUUAUUACGGCUUCACCUCUCUUGCGAUAGUGUCGAUGCAUGAGCGGGUCAAGUGGAUUUUCCAGCGCUGCUGUUGGCGUGAUCUUCGUACUGGUGAACUUGGUUCUCAUCUAUCAGCUGAGAAUCCGGAUCGAGCUCCGGCAGCUCCAGCAAAUUGGUAAGAUGCCUUCUAACUUACGUAUGAAGUUCCUUUUGCAGGAACAAGCCGAGCUUCCACUAUCUCGCCCCCGAAUUCACAGCCACGGCAACUAGUUCUAGCGGUAGGAAGCCCUCAAAUCAAUCCACUACUGUUCAAGUCUUCGAUGCAAUGAAAAAGAGGAGCUCGGGCUUUGCAUCGACAUGGUUGCAGUCAACAACAUAAUCCGGUGCUAUAGAAGCGUGAUCCAGGAUGCUCUUGACCUCCAAAUUGGGAAACUCUGUGGUACCAUCGGGAUUGUGGUUGCUGGCAAGCAUGGGAGCUUCGUGGAAUUUUUCGACAGUCUCAUAACGAAGAUUUUACCAGAUCAAAUUGGCCAAAUAUAUCUAGAAGAGAAGGACAGGGAUUCGUGACGAGCCACAACUAUAAAUCGGCAUUGCUGGGUCCGUAAGUGAUGCUCGCUCCAUCAUAAGGGUACUGAAGAUUGAAAUCUCAAGUCAAGCUCCACCAUGACUUGUGAGGCAACUGCAAAUUUCGUCUUCCAGCACUGCACGAGAUCACGCUUUUUCAUUUUUAAUCACAAAAAACUCUCCGCUGUUUGGAGAGACGAGUACUAGCUCUUGCAAUUGGACGCAGUGGAACAGCCACACUUGACUAUCUGUUAAGGGCAAGCUCACGGGAAGAAGCCACUCUGGGCCAAAUCACUAAUCUUGGACCUCGCAGAAGCAUGCGACAAAAUCAGAAUCCCACUUUGAUGUGCUGCUGCUGAAAUAUUCAAAG